rnacentral:lncRNA from 1 species
UGAACAUAGCUCAGAAUUGAUCAUUAUCACAAAUAAAAUUUAAAUCAAAUUUCACAUAAAACGAAGCUCUACUAUCUCAAGAAUUUCUUUGAGAAAAUUAAGAUAAUCGUUACUUCCAUCUUUUCUGUAUGCAAAGAUGUGAAACACUGCAUUUCACUUGCUGCUGAUUCUAUCUAUGCAUGACCACACUGAUUGGAUAAAAGCUACACAGGUCAACAUUCUUUCCUGCUAUAGACUAUUGAGUAGUGUAGUAAUAUAAUAAAUAUUUUAUUGAUCUUCCUUCUGCAUAUAUAUGCUUAGCAAAGUAGAUGUACUGAUAAGCACGGUGUGAAAAGGCUUCAAAUCUUCUUUUGUCCCUAUUCUUAAUAGGAACCUGCAAAAUGUUGUUUAUCAUAGUGAUCUAUUACCAACUUUCAGGUCUUUAUUGGCAUGCGAUCAAGUUGAGUCAAUAGUCAAUACUUGGAAAUUGUCAAAUGUCCUACUUGCCAAAUCUUCUGUUUAUACCAACGAUAUUAUAAAUGAACAUGAAACUGGAAAUUGUUUGUCUUGUUUAGCAUGUAUAUUUCUUGUUGAAAAGCAUGAACUGACAAUGAGUAGUCUUUAAAAAUAAAAUUAUACUAUUUUGAGUGAGAACCUCUUGGCUAAAUAUUGCCCAAUUUUCUUGUUCACUUUUAUCAAGCAUCUCUAAAGAGUAAAGGUCCUGAAACCAAUUUUGUCUCUGACAAUAAUUUUGACAUCACCCACUUGGAUGUGGCAGACUUCUUUGAGCACCCUGAGGGAAAAAUGGACCACCUAAUCGGUGAUGAAUCUGUGAUUAAGGAAGAUUGAGUUAUUUGAUUUUAUUUUACUUAUUUGUAUUAGUUAGUGAAUAAACUAAUAGUCAUUAGUAUCAACUCGUAUUAUUUAUGGAAUAGUGUCAGUAUUCGUUCUUUAGAAUGCUUCAGUAUGCUUAAUUUUCAAAGAUAUUUUUUUUUCAGUAAAGUUAAUCGCCUAACAUGUCAGAUAGUCGACUAUUUAAUAUUUCGUAUUAAACUAGACUUUUUCCGCAAGGCAUGUUAGUCGACUAUCAGAUUUAGUUAAUCGACUAACCUAAUGAC